rnacentral:rRNA from 1 species
GACGAACGCUGGCGGCGUGCUUAACACAUGCAAGUCGAACGGUAAGGCCCUUCGGGGUACACGAGUGGCGAACGGGUGCGUAACACGUGGGUGAUCUGCCCUGCACUUCGGGAUAAGCCUGGGAAACUGGGUCUAAUACCGGAUAGGACCCUGGGAUGCAUGUCCUGGGGUGGAAAGCUUUUGCGGUGUGGGAUGGGCCCGCGGCCUAUCAGCUUGUUGGUGGGGUGAUGGCCUACCAAGGCGACGACGGGUAGCCGGCCUGAGGGGUGACCGGCCACACUGGGACUGAGAUACGGCCCAGACUCCUACGGGAGGCAGCAGUGGGGAAUAUUGCACAAUGGGCGCAAGCCUGAUGCAGCGACGCCGCGUGAGGGAUGACGGCCUUCGGGUUGUAAACCUCUUUCAGCACCGACGAAGCGCAAGUGACGGUAGGUGCAGAAGAAGGACCGGCCAACUACGUGCCAGCCGCCGCUGUAA